rnacentral:rRNA from 1 species
GUGCCAGCAGCCGCGGUAAUACGUAGGUGGCAAGCGUUGUCCGGAUUUAUUGGGCGUAAAGCGAGCGCAGGCGGUUUCUUAAGUCUGAUGUGAAAGCCCCCGGCUCAACCGGGGAGGGUCAUUGGAAACUGGGAGACUUGAGUGCAGAAGAGGAGAGUGGAAUUCCAUGUGUAGCGGUGAAAUGCGUAGAUAUAUGGAGGAACACCAGUGGCGAAGGCGGCUCUCUGGUCUGUAACUGACGCUGAGGCUCGAAAG